GUCGGGGCUCUAGAUGUCUGUCAGUAAGAUGGAUGCAGGCUAUACUGAUAACAGACUGGAAAAGAAGCACGGGGGUUUUUGCCGAGUUUGUCCUUGUGUAAACCUGGGUCGUUCCUGAUUGAGAUCGCUGACUUCAUGAACAUCAGAAUCGGAAUGUUUGCCGAGGUAGCAGCAUGCAGCGACCAUCACUUUCACUCUCAGUGAUAACAAGACUUCUGUGCUUUCACCUCUUGGAACUGUCAAUGUAUUAUCCGUCUUAAUGUUUCCUAUGCUUAUUUAGCAUGAACUUCUCUGACUUUUGCAAGCUUGUUGAGUUACGUCAUUCCAAGUUUCACUUUUCUGUUGGCAGUUAUCUUCGGGAUGUGGAAACUGAAAAACUACAAGUCCCCGAUGAUGGGCUAAGGUUUUUGGUGCAGUUAUUUGUGGUGGAGGGUCAUUUGCUAAGGAAAGCUGGAUGAAAGGGACUGUUGCUAUGGUUUCUUGCUAACCGGUUCUGGGGCAAUUCAUCCUCCACCGUGAUUAUACUACUGUAUCUGAUGAUGGUACUAGCACUUGUGGGCAAGGCAAGUCAGGAUCCUUGAUUAAAAGCAUUUCUACGUGAUCAAUUAGUCGAGCAUAAACCUAACCUUAACGCAGAUAAGGACCAAGCUGACGAGGUACCUAGUAAGCCAGACAUCAGUAUAGAUUAUGACAAAGCUGAGGUUCGAAGAAAAUUUUGGUGGCGUAUUGCUUCUACGGUGGGCACUGUCUCGUCUGUGAUAAUGGCCGGAGGUUCUGACCAGAGAAUGAUGACUUUGCAAUUUCAUUUUCGGUUAUGGCAUUGGCUGGUUUAACCUUUGCGUUAGGAAAAAGCUUUUACUACUCCGACAAACCAACUGGAAGCCCUCUUUUCGUUAUUUAUAGAGUUCUUAAGGCAGCUUUUGUGAAGCGUCACCUGCAACACGCUCGUGAACCCAAUGACUACUAUAUAAAUGAUAGUGGUGGAUUGCUUCUAUUGCCCGACAUUGGAAUAAUCAGGUGGCUGGACAAAGCUGUUCUUUUAGAGACAUCCAAGUCCCUCUGAGCUGAAGAACAGGAGCAAAACGGGAGGCUUUUCCCAGUCCGAGAUGUGCAACGAGUAAAGCAACUUCUUGCAUUGCUUCCUAUGUGGACAGCACUCCCCAUCCACGGCCUCGUUCUGGCAACGGGUACGACUUUCUUUGUUGUGCAAAGUGAAAGCCUCGAUCCUGAUCCGGUUUUGUCUAUAAAUGUUCUGUUUCUACUUCAGGGUUUCGUAACAGUUAUAGUUACAUACGUCCAUGACUUUUUCGUAUCCGGAUGGAUUAAAAAACUUCCGAUGCAUCAUGUUAGACCGAUAUGGAUUCAAAAACUUCUGAAGCAUCGUGUUGGACUUGUGAGAAUUGCAAUUGGGAUAGCGUGCUCUAUAAUCUGCUGCAUGGUAUCAAUGCUGGUUGAGACUCGUAGAUUGAAUCUUAUUAAAACACGUGGAGAUGCUGAACCAUUUCCAAUGAGCACAGUAUGGCUGGUUCCACAGUUUUUCCUGAGAGGACUCGUAGAAGGACUGGUUGCUGAUGGCUUAGCUGAUUUUUAUAAUAUCCAUGUAGAUGAAUCUUUGGAACAUUAUGAAUCGCCAUUCAACGAGUCUGCAAUUGGCGUUGGGAAGUUCCUGAGUGCGGCACUUGUUCUUACUUUGUCAGGCAGCUGGUUUCAUGACACUCUGAAUACAAGUCAUCUGGGCAAAUAUUACAUGCUGUUAGGUAUUCUAAGUUCUGUGAACCUAUGCUUUUAUCUGCUUGUCAUGUACGCCCACGCAUGGAAAGCCCUUCACGUGAGAGGUUCCCCUGCCCCUGAAGUCUCAACUUAGAUCACUCUCCUCUCUACGCUUCAAUAUUGAAAUUGCCGGCCAAGGUAGCUUUCAAGCUGUCAAACUCCAGUUGAAACAUUGAAUACGAACACGCCCUUAUUGAAUCUCUUCAGAUUAGUGAUUGCUGAGAGAUUUGAAGAAAUUGGUAUGAAACACAAUCCCGAAAUUAAUUUCAGAGCUGUAUUAAUGACUUUUUACAGGUUCCAUCAGAACGAAAAUUACUAA